UCUUCCAUGUAAAGAAAACGGUUACAAUCAAAUAUUAUUGCUUUAUCCAUCUUCCAUAUCCACAAGACUAACUGCUUCGCUUUGUAUUUUCUCUCUCAAGGAAAAUUAUGAAACAGAGGAUGCAAGGUGUAUUUAUUGGCCAACUUUGGAUUCUAUAUGAAAUUUUGAUGGUUUUGAGUACAAAUGAAAGUUAUGUUGUUAAUGUUAUUGGUGUAUGCAUCCUAUGUAUGCUUCAUUAUAUCAAGUCGAGUUUUCAUCUUUGAAUUGAUAAAACCCAAGGAAUUUGAGUUUAUUUAAUGGCUACUGUGAUAAAUAUGCCAAUUCCAUGAAUAUUUCGUAGUUCUAAUUAUGGGCAAAGUCAUGCAACACGAAAUCAAUCCAGGCUCACAUUUGAUUUAAGCUCCGAUAUUAUAAUAUUGUGGAAGAUAUACAUACAACUUCUGAACAAGCAAAAAACAAUGUUAGUGCUGCUAAUCAACCACGAGUGAAUAGGAGAAGUUCAAUAAACUAGAGUUUGUGCAAGUGGCCAUGCUCCAUUGGAUUCUAUAUGCAUCAACAGUUUGUGCAAGUGAUCAUGAGUUGAGACAAUAGAGGGUACUCUUAAGACUAUUGCUGGCCCUGCAUAUGAUAGGUUCCAUGACAACCCUGUUGAGGUUCUUAAGUUUGUUGAUUCUCAGUUUUGAUGGAUUCACUAUGGAAAAUGCUUCUGUUAUGGAAAUUAUGUUGUAUACGUCUGCAAUUAGGCCGAGGACUGAAGUGCAAUAUUGUUCAGUUGCUUUAGCAGAGAUCUGCUGAGAGUCCAAGACAGAUGGGGAUUUUUUAAUACCCCAUAAGGUGUUCCGGUUGAAACAGGGGCUAGCCUUACACCUUGGGCUAUGUGGACACGGGCGUGGACCACCGAAGAGAACACGAAUGUUGACCUUCUCCACCAGUAUCUAUAUCUUUGUGGACGGGUCGAUAUAAGGCAGAGUUAUGUGCCAACACAAUGUCGGAUUGUCGGCCCAGCUUACUUAUUUUGUCGUUCAGGUGCAAUGACCCUAGCUGGGGCUACAUUAUCGGCCCAAAAACAAGAACCAUCAUUUGAACUGUCCACAUCCUACCUACUGGCCUAUCGGACAAGAAAAUCAAAAGGUUAUAGUCAUGGGUGAUUAGCUGUUUAUGCAAACGUUCCUGAAGAUAGUAUAGCAUAAGGAAUUCGACUUAUUCUAUUAUCUGUAGUUACGCUAUAGUUCUGACAUACUUAUUUGGCUCUUCAGGUGCAUCAUCUCUUAUAGUUAAGUCAAAGUUCAGCUAAAUCCCUCUAUCUGUAUGGUUCAAGUCAUAAGGGUUAGGCGUGUUGGGUAAUGUGUCAAAAGGGUUUAGGUUGUAAUAGGGCAUCUUUUAGUAGAUAGUUAAAAUAUGACGAGUCCGGUUGGAUCAAUUUGUGAAUUUUUCUUCAUUUUGUAAAAUAAAAAAUGAUCUUCUCUUAGAUGUAUCAUUAAUCAUUAUUAUCCCCGACUCAUUUGAGAUACAACACAACCCAAGCUAACCAUUUAAAAAUAGAAGGUUUGAAAUUGCUAACCUUUUACUCUCAGCUCUCCGAUUUAAUAUAUUGAAGAUACCUGGCUGAAAACCACACAAAAUGUAUUCGAGUCAUUCCCAAAAAAUAUCAGCUAUAAGUGCUAGGAAUUAUCACGUUCAGUUUUAUACACAACCCUUUUUCCCUUGCAGGUUCUCAUGCUCAUACUUCUGACUGCGUUUCAGAUGCUUUCUGCCUUUCAAGCAUAUCAUCCACUCUUCUGCUUGAUAGUGAUGAUAUACCUGUCUUGAACACAUUCAAAUUUUCCCUCAGGUUAUCCUAAAUCCCACUUUCUUGCAACAAUUUGUUGCCCAGUGUAGGUUUCGUCAACUGGAUGUACGCCUUCUUUUGGAUUUAGUUGUGUGCGUGUAGAUGACACAACAUGUCAAUCAGAAUACAGAUGGUUUAACUUCACUCCACAACCGCUGCCGAAGGGGAGUUACACUAGAUAAUGGUCGGUUCCAUUUCAAAGGAUGCAACGCUCAUGUCAAGUAUUCCAACCAAGUGAAUCAAGCAACCCCUUUGUUGAGCAUGCAGUCCAGUAUUCCAUAGCAGCAGUAUAUGCUACUCUUGACAAUAAUAAAAGGAACCAAUUGCACAAAUUACUGUCACGAGGAACGGGUAAAAACGGAUGCGGGUCGAAACAGGCGCGGGUCCAAGCGGGUCAUUUCAUGAUUGCGGGUCAUGCGGGUACGGGUCAAAGCGGGUCGGGUGCGGGUCAACCCACAAUUUUUCACUAAAAUUUAUUACUUGUACUAUUAAUGACUUUUUUUGUAAAUUUUCAUUAAGUUAACUGAACGGAUUAAUUAUUUUUAGCAAAACCAUUAAACACUA